GACGAACGCUGGCGGCGUGCUUAACACAUGCAAGUCGAACGAUGAACUUGGAGCUUGCUCUGGGGGAUUAGUGGCGAACGGGUGAGUAACACGUGAGUAACCUGCCCUGGACUCUGGGAUAACUUCGAGAAAUCGGAGCUAAUACCGGAUAGGACCUUGCACCGCAUGGUGGGGGGUGGAAAGUUUUUCGGUUUGGGAUGGACUCGCGGCCUAUCGGCUUGUUGGUGAGGUAAUGGCUCACUAAGGCGUCGACGGGUAGCCGGCCUGAGAGGGUGACCGGCCACACGGGGACUGAGACACGGCCCAGACUCCUACGGGAGGCAGCAGUGGGGAAUAUUGCACAAUGGGCGCAAGCCUGAUGCAGCAACGCCGCGUGCGGGAUGACGGCCUUCGGGUUGUAAACCGCUUUUAGUAGGGAAGAAGCCUUCGGGUGACGGUACCUGCAGAAAAAGGACCGGCUAACUACGUGCCAGCCGCCGCAGUAACAC
rnacentral:rRNA from 1 species